ensembl:lincRNA
ACUGAAGGAGAACUGUUUUGCUUUGCUCCGGGAAGAGUGCAGACACGACGUGAAAUCCGGAGCUCUUUGCGUGGUGCAUUUAAAAUGCUUCCUUAUUUAUAUUACCCUCAUCCCCUCCCCUCUCCCACCCCCUCACCAGCCCUUCCAAAUUUCCCUAGAAAUCUGUGUAAAGCGUGGAGGGGAAAACAUUUGCAUAAAAAGUGAAGGAGCACGCCAAGGAGCACCAAAGACCAAGAGGAGACCAGAUGAGUUUUCAGAGCAGUUCUCAGACACCCAGGACGCAUGUCAUCCUUUGCCUCGUGCUUUCUGCAAUGUUGCUGCUCACCUUCAUCUUUCUAUUAACCCUCGCCAUAACAAUCCCCUCCUGACACCACCACCUCUUCUCCAUUAAUCACCCACUCAGCUCUCUCUGAGGUGUCUCUCCCAUGGGGCAUGGCUUUGUCUCUGGCAGGCUCCCCUUGAAUCAUAUCCAGAUGGCUACCAUUUACUUCCUUUUCCUCUGUCUCCUCUUCACACCAGACUCAGUUAACACUCAGUCCCUUGAUCAGGAAAACUGGAGAAAAAGUUCCCUUUUCUAAAAAGGAAGUCAGAGCGUGCUCUGCUGGAGCCACCAUGCUCAGGGAAGAGACCCAAAAUACAGCUGAGUGUGAUGUCAUUGAAACCAGAUGGAAAGACCAGAAAUCCCUUAAUCCCAGUCAGACCUAGUGAAGCUUUACUUGUGACUGUUGGGACUGAUUAAGAAUAUGGGGGUAGGGAGGAAGAGAGGGAGAAAGAUGUUCUGAAUUGGAUUGCCCUUCAAUACAGAAUGGAAUCCCCUAGUUUUUUUGUCCUCCAAUUAAAUGUGCAUUUCAUUCU